AGAGGCUUAAGAGCUGUUCUGAAUGAGAUAGAUUGAUUUAUGAGACAAGAAUUCAGAAAAAGAAGAAAUUGCUGGGAAUAUUUCACAGAUGGAGCAAUGGAAGGGUUGGGCUUUUGGAAAAAGUCCACAGUAUAACCCAAGGCAUGAAGCACAUCUUGUAAGAGGACCAAUUAGGGAGUAGCCUGACGAAAGAAUUGGGAAGUAAUAUGAAAUGUGAGUUCCAGUCUUCACAUGGGAAUCCUAGUCACUUAUCAGCAAGCUGGGCAGGAUCCAGGCAAGGUCCCAAUGUAGAAAAACCUUCAUGAGCUGGUCCCAGUCUCUUUACUUCCUGUUUGCGACUGUGGUGAAGUUACUUCACUCUAUAUCCUUGUUGGUUCUGUUACUCCAAUAUCCAUUUUGAGGCAUCAUUUUAAGGUUGGUUUGAGAAGGAUUCUAAGAAUAAUUCCAGCUUUCCCUGCAACUCCACCAUCUUGACUCUGCCCCUCUCCAGUAAAGUUAUACUUUUCUUGGUCAUCAAGAUCCUUCUGUUUGCUAGAGAGCAUGAAAAUGAUCAUAGUUGCUAUGAAAAAUUAUCCUGGAGACUGCAUCUCUUAGGAAAUCAUAAAAGGAAGAGAUACAUAUGGACUGGUGAAGAUAAGAGAACAUUUCAUGAAAGACAUUAUAAUAAAAUGCUUUAUGCAA
rnacentral:lncRNA from 1 species